UACGUAGGGUGCGAGCGUUGUCCGGAAUUAUUGGGCGUAAAAGAGCUCGUAGGCGGUUUGUCGCGUCGGCCGUGAAAACUUGGGGCUUAACUCCAAGCUUGCGGUCGAUACGGGCAGACUUGAGUUCGGCAGGGGAGACUGGAAUUCCUGGUGUAGCGGUGAAAUGCGCAGAUAUCAGGAGGAACACCGGUGGCGAAGGCGGAUCUCUGGGCCAUUACUGACGCUGAGGAGCGAAAGCGUGGGGAGCGAACAGG
rnacentral:rRNA from 1 species